rnacentral:rRNA from 1 species
GAUGAACGCUGGCGGCGUGCUUAACACAUGCAAGUCGAACGGAAAGGCCCAAGCUUGCUUGGGUACUCGAGUGGCGAACGGGUGAGUAACACGUGGGUGAUCUGCCCUGCACUUCGGGAUAAGCCUGGGAAACUGGGUCUAAUACCGGAUAGGACGAUGGUUUGGAUGCCAUUGUGGAAAGUUUUUUCGGUGUGGGAUGAGCUCGCGGCCUAUCAGCUUGUUGGUGGGGUAAUGGUCUACCAAGGCGUCGACGGGUAGCCGGCCUGAGAGGGUGUACGGCCACAUUGGGACUGAGAUACGGCCCAGACUCCUACGGGAGGCAGCAGUGGGGAAUAUUGCACAAUGGGCGCAAGCCUGAUGCAGCGACGCCGCGGGGGGGAUGACGGCCUUCGGGUUGUAAACUCCUGUCGCUAGGGACGAAGCGUUUUUGUGACGGUACCUGGAGAAGAAGCACCGGCUAACUACGUG